rnacentral:tmRNA from 1 species
CCGCAGACGGGACACAGAGCCUGCUUCAAAAAUUCUUUCGGACCCCGAUAGAGGGACCUGAAUUUACUCGCUUGUGUCUAGAGGACCGUGGCAGUUUAUCUGAAAAUGGCGACCCAAACCAUGGACGUGGAGCCUGUUCAGACCGUGAACGCAAUUGAUGCCGCCAUCGCCGAGCUGAAGCUGAUGGCCGGCCACAGCCAUGAAGCUAAUGUGCUGGCUGGCAGGCUGCUUCAUUUUAAGAUGAGAGAAGUUUGUACCCAGACUGUGGCUCAGUUUCUGGAUGCCUUUUCCAGCGUGUUGGAUGAAGGGCUGUGUGCCUUUAUUGGAAACUACAGCCAGAGUUUGGAUGAGAUGGUUCAGCGUUGUUUCAUCUUUGCCCCCGCCCUGGACUCUGAGGAAAAAACUGUGGAUGCAGUGUUUUCUGAGUUAACAAAGCUGUUGGCGUGUAAGUCGGGAGUGGGUAUGGAUCUGUCCACCUACUCUCAUGGAAAGAACCUGCAUGCUGUCCUGAAGGCCCUUGAUGGACAGAUCACUUACUUUAAUGAUCACAAUAUUAGGCCCGUCAGCGUGGCUGCCUAUAUGGAGAUUUGGCAUACCAACAUCAUGGACUUUCUGACUGCGAAGCUUCCAGAGAACCCAGAACGAUGUGGCAACUUAUUUCAAGGAGUGUGCAUACCAGAGAUUUUCUUCAGAACCUACAAAAAUGAUCCAGAGUCCAAUUGGUACCUGUUUGAUCCCAAGAAGGCCGAAGUCCUAACAAACACCUAUGGGUAUAUGUUUAGUAUAGCCUACGCAGGAUUAGUGGAGCAGGGGGCAUAUGAAGCAGUGGUUCCCAUUAAGAGCGUGAUGUUCGCUCUUGUUUCCUGCAUAAUAAAGACUGGGGGGCCUUAUAUUUUGAACAAGAAAGCUAUAAACAGACAUGACUGGCAUGAAUGGUCCACACAUCAGUAUAGGGCCAUUAAUUGUGCAAAUCUUUGUGCAGAGGUGAUACAGUAUCCAGGAGAGAACGUGUCCACCUGUAACCUGGCCAAUAUCUGUCUGCCAAAGUGUUUGGAGGAUGACAAAUUUGUCUCUGGAAAGAGUUGUCUACUCACGUACGAGCGUGAGUUUUCCAUUGAGAGGCUGGAGAGGGCCACAGAGGCUGCAGUGUUUAUCAUCAAUGCCUGCAUCCAUGGUGGCACUUUACCUACACAGAGGGCCAGGCGGGGGCAGAGUGACAGGUCUAUGGGUAUUGGAGUACAAGGAUUAGCAGAUACCUUUGCUAUGAUGGGGUUGGGAUAUUUUGAUGCAGGGAGUGAGAUACUUGAUCAGAAGAUAGCAGAGACCCUGUAUUUCAAUGCACUCAAUACCAGUAUCAACUUUGUGAAGAUAGGCAAGGGGGAACCCUAUGCUAACUAUGAGCAGAGUAAGCAUUCCAUUGGGGUGCUCCAUUGGCAUGACUGGGACAUGUGUAGCCCCAUGGUCUAUACAAGAGAUGAGUGGGAAGAUUUGGCAAGGUCCUGCGAGGUACAUGGUGUAUACAAUUCACAAUUUGUGGCCUAUAUGCCUACUGCUGGCACUGGGCAAAUCACAGGUUACUCAGACUCCUUCUAUCCAUUUUAUUCAUCCAUGUCAUCCAAGGUGUCAAAUAAAGAAGAAAUCUUGCGACCCAACAUGACCCUCAUGAGCAGAAUGUCAGAUAGUGAGGUCCAGACCCUUAGGGAGUGUAACUGGGAUAUUGCCAAACUUCCAGAGCCCCUGCUGCAGAAAUAUAGAAUUUUCCUGUCAGCCUUUGAUUAUGAACCCAGCCUGUAUGUACGCAGAGCUAUGCUUAGGGCACCAUUCAUUGAUCAGAGCCAGUCUAUGACCUUGUUUUUGAAUGAAGAUUAUGCAAGCAGUGCUUCAAAUAUAAAGAAUUUGUUGAUGUAUGGGUGGGAGUGUGGGUUGAAAACCUUGAUGUACUACUGCAGAAUACGUAAAACAGCAACCUCUAACGAAUUUGAAUGUGUCAGAAGGAAUUCACAACAGAAAUAUGUAAACUGUGCUGAUGGGGAAGGUGCUGGGGGGGAGGAGCCUUCUGAAAAUUGUAUAAAGGCUGAGGGUGCGACGUGUUCACUAUCUGUGGGUGCUUCUUGUCUGCACUGUCAAUAACUGAUUGCUCUCAAUAAAAUCAGUAAAAUUUA